GACAGAGGCCUCAAGCGUUAGGCGGAAUCACUGGGCGUAAAGCGCGUGUAGGCGGAUGGGCAAGUCUGCUGUGAAAGCUCCUGGCUUAACCGGGAGUGGUCGGUGGAAACUGCCAAUCUGGAGGACGGUAGAGGUAGGUAGAAUUCCCGGUGUAGUGGUGAAAUGCGUAGAGAUCGGGAGGAAUACCUGUGGCGAAGGCGGCCUACUGGGCCGGACCUGACGCUGAGGCGCGACAGCGUGGGAGCAAACAGG
rnacentral:rRNA from 1 species